AACCGCCGUAUGCGGAACCGCAUGUACGGUGGUGUGAGAGGUCGGAAAACGAAAGUAGGAGAAAAACUACUUUGUUUUCCUCCUACUCGAU
rnacentral:ncRNA from 1 species